rnacentral:rRNA from 1 species
CGCGUAGGUGGUUGCGUCAGUCGGAUGUGAAAUCCCCAGGCUUAACCUGGGAACUGCAUCUGAUACUGCGUGACUCGAGUGCAGCAGAGGGAAACGGAAUUCCUGGUGUAGAGGUGAAAUUCGUAGAUAUCAGGAGGAACACCGGUGGCGAAGGCGGUUUCCUGGGCUGACACUGACACUGAGGCGCGAAAGCGUGGGUAGCAAACAGGAUUAGAUACCCUGGUAGUCCACGCUGUAAACGGUGAGUACUGGGUGUGGGAGGUGUAACGCCUUCUGUGCCGAAGCUAACGCGUUAAGUACUCCGCCUGGGGAGUACGGCCGCAAGGUUGAA